AAUGUGUAGGAAAUAGUAAUCUUGGAAUCAUUCAAGAAAAAAAAAAAAUCCACACUACCUCAGUUCUGGACUGACCAGUAAAGAAGUAAAGAAGCUGCCUCACCAGGAAGUACAAAAUAUCUACCUAAAAUAAAACUGAUGAGGAAGAGCUAUCGAUCGGUUGGUUAAAUAGUAAAUACGUGCUGCAACUUCCCAGCACGAGGGCAGUGGUUUUGUGCAGGGUUGAGGCAACUGAGGGAGCAGGAAUCAAGCUGGGGCGGAUAUGCAAGAAAGCCUGCGUCAGGAUGGGAGUCCAGCUGAGUGCCUGCAGAGGAGCCUAGUACUUCCAGAGGCUGAAAUGUCCUCCAUCCAUUAAGAAGCUAUGGUGGAACUACUUCACCUACAGAUGAGUCAACUGAAACUUUUUGUGCCUACUGGGUACAACAGCCUGUGGAACAGAUCUGCUGCUUCUGGUCUUCAAUUUCUUCUUCAUUGCACCUGCUCCAUCCAGUACACAAAAAAAGUACUCAAGUUCUCAAAAUGAUUGUGAUUUUACCAGAGUAGUUGCAUGAGAAAUUUCAGUUUAUUCUACUUAUUGGAUCAAUAUAACCUACAUUAAAA